AAGAAAAACACAAAGAAAAGGAAACAGAACCAGACGGAGAUUGUUGCCUAUGUAUGUGCUUCUGUGAUGCUCCUCAAAAACCAGAAUGGGCCAGGCAUGGUGGCUCACGCCUGUAAUUCCAACACUUUGGGAGGCUGAGGCAGGUAUAUUACCUUAGAUCAGGAGUUCGAGACCAGCUUGGGCAACAAAGUGAAACCGCAUCUCUACUAUAACAAUACAAAAAUGCGCCGGGCAUGGUGAUGCAUGCUUGUAAUCCCAGCUACAAGAGAGGCUGAGGCAGGAGAAUCACUUGAACCCGUGAGGCAGAGGUUGCAGUGAGCCUAGAUUGUGCCACUUCACUCCAGCCUGGACAAGAGUGAGACUCUGUCUCAAAAAAAAAAAAAAAGGAAAAAAAAUGGCUGAAUUAAGAUUUGUAGGGGGCUGAGAAUAAUGUAAAGCUGUGAUAUCAGUCAGAUUAUUGCAUACAGGGCAUUCUUCACAGAGAGGGCCAGUGUGGAUUAUAGGAAAGAAAUGCUCUACUAACCAAUCAUGAAAUAGAGCAGUCCAAGACCUUAAGAGGCUGCAGUUUUUAUUGGAGGAGAUUAAUACGUUAAUAGGAAGUGAUUACAUAUACAGUAGAGGUAAUGCAGGGGACAUGUUAGCCACAUCUCCAUUGAAUGGCAGUAGCUGUCAUUUAGCAAGAUUGAGGAAAAAUUUCUCUUAAUCUUGAACUUGAAAAGAGCAGUUACCACAGAGAAGAGGGAUUUUUAGCUUUUUUUUUUCUAUUUGUAGAGACGGGGUUUCACUAUGUGUCCCAGGCUGGUUUUGAACUCCUGAGCUCAAGUGAUCCUUCUGCUUGGCCUCCCAAAAGUGCUGGGAUUACAGGUGUGAGCCACUGUGCCUGGUCCAAAAAGGAGAGUUUAUUUUAAAAAAAAAAACCCACAAUAGCAUGUCCUUGAUUAGGAAUCCUUUUAAACUGUCAGCAUUACAUUCUCUAUUGUUUGUUUUUUGAGACAGUGUCUCACUCUGUCACCCAGGCUGGAGUGCAAUGGAGCGAUCAUGGCUCACUGCAACCUCCGCUUCCUGGGUUCAACCAGUUCUCCUGCUUCAGCCUCCCUAGUAUAUGGGACUACAG
rnacentral:lncRNA from 10 species